rnacentral:misc_RNA from 1 species
AGGCAGGGUUGAUGAUUGGGGUUAAGUCGUAACAAGGUAUCCCUACCGGAAGGUGGGGAUGGAUCACCUCCUUUCUAUGGAGUUUCGUUUCUAUGAAACAACAAGAAAAACCGAUUUUAGACUUAUGGAUUAAUUCAAUUGUUCUCUUUAGUUUUCAGGGAUUGUUUAUCUCUGUGCAAUUGUUCUUUAAAAACUGGAUAAUAGACAUCUUUAAAUAUAAAAAAUAAAUUAUCUUGCAAUAGGAUAUUCUUAAAUAAAUUAUUAAGAG